AUGUCCUCCUCCUCCUCCUCGUCCAUGGGCGCGCUCGCCGCGGCCACCGCCAUGGCGCUCUCCGGUUCCCUCGUCCUCUUCUCCCUCCGCCGCUUCGCCAAGCCCAGCCUCGACGACGACGCCCCUGCUUCGGACGACCCCGCGUCCCUUCGUCCAUGCCUCUCCUCCUCCUCCUCCUCCCCAGAGAAGCGGCAGCGCGGCGGGAAGCUGCGGCGGAAGGGGGAGAAGCGGGUGCGCUUCGCGGAGGGCGUCAUCGACAAUGAGGGCGCGCCCCCCGCGGCCAGGUCCUCCUCCUCGCCCCCGCCGGCGCCGGCAGCGGCCGAGCCGACGUGCAGGGGAAGCGUGACGGGAUCGGACCACCGGAUGCCGGCGAACCGGGAGGCGCUGUACCGCGGCAUGCUCCGCGAUCGCUCCGUGCACAGGACCGCCUACUCCUACUGA
rnacentral:rRNA from 1 species